UACGUAGGGUGCAAGCGUUGCCCGGAUUUAUUGGGCGUAAAGGGCGCGUAGGCGGCUACGCACGUCCGUUGUGAAAUCGCCCGGCUCAACUGGGCGGGGUCGGCGGAUACGGCGUAGCUUGAGCAAGCUAGGGGGCAAUGGAAUUCCCGGUGUAGUGGUGGAAUGCGUAGAUAUCGGGAGGAACACCGGUGGCGAAGGCGGCAUCCUGGACCGGCAUUGACGCUGAGGAGCGAAAGCCAGGGGAGCAAACGGG
rnacentral:rRNA from 1 species